rnacentral:lncRNA from 1 species
AUGGCAUGGGAUGGAUGGAAUGGGAUGGGAUGGAUGGGAUGGGAUGGAUGGAUGGCGUGGGGAUGGAUGGAUGCGAGAUGGAUGGUAGAUGUGGGAUGGAUGGGAUGGGAUGGGAUGGAUUGGGAUGGCAUGGGAUGGGAUGAGACUGGGAUGGGAUGGAUGGAAUGGGAUGGAUGGGAUGGGAUGGGGAUGGAUGGGAGGUGGGAUCGGAUCGAUGGGGGAUGGAUGGGAAGAUCUGGGGUGGAUGGAGGGAUGACAGGGAUGGAUGGAUGGGAUGGAUGGGAUGGAUGGAUGGGAUGGCGAUGGAUGGGAUGCGGAUGGGAUGGGAUGGAUGGGAUGGGAUGGAUGGGAUGGAGGAUGGGAUGGAUGGGAUGGGAUGGGAUGGAUGGGAGGGGAUGGGAUGGGAGGAUGGAUGGAUGGGGAUGGGAUGGGCAUGGAUGGAAUGGAUGCGAAUUGGAUGGAUGGGAUGGAGGGGAAUGGGAUGGAACUUGGGAUGCGACUGCGGGAUGGGAUGGGAGGAUGGGAUGGGAGGAUGGGAUGGAUGGAUGGGGAUGGAUGGGAGGAACUGGAUGGGGAUUGGAUGGGAUGGAGAUGGGAUGGGAUGGCAUGGAUGGGAUGGCGAUGCAUGAUGGGAUGGGAUGGGAUGGGAUGGGAUGGGAUGGGGAUGGGGAUGGGAUGGAUGGGAUGGCGAUGGAUGGCGAUGGGCAUGGAUGGGAUGGAUUGGGGGAUGGGACUGGAUGGGAUGGAUGGAAUGGAUGGGAUUGCGCGAUGGAUGGGAUGAUGAGCGAUGGAUGGAUGGGAUGGGAUGGAUGGACUGGAUGAGGAUUGGAUAGGGAUGGGAUGGGAUGGGAUCGGGAUGGAUGGGAUGGAUGAUGGGAUGGGAUGGAUGGAUGGGAUGGGAUGGAUGGGAUGGAUGGGAUGGGAUGGAUUGGGAUGGAUAGGGUGGGGAUGGAUGGGAUGGAUGGGACAUGGAAGGGUGGGAGAUGGAUGGAUGGGGAAUGAGUGGCGUGGAUGGGAGGCAUGGGAUGGACUGGAUGGCAUGGGAUGGAUGAUGGGAUGGGAAUGGGAUGGAUGGAUGGAUGGAGGAUGGGAUGGGAUGGGAUGGGAUGGGAUGGGAUGGGAUGGAUGGGAUGGAUGGGAUGGGAUGGGAUGGGAUGGGAUGGGAUGGGAUGGAUGGGAUGGGAUGGGGAUGGGAUGGAUGGGGCUGGGGUAAGCUGUGGGUCGCUGUGGGUCGCUGUGGGUCUCUGACCCCCAUCCCUCAGCAUGGUGUACACCCUGGUGAGCUUCUGAGGGGCCGCUGCCCCCCCCCCCACCGCGGAGACACCGACCGGAGCCUGGUGGGGUGGCAGGGCCCCCCAGUACAGCCCAGUAUGGACCAGUAUGGACCAAUAUGGACCAAUAUGGACCAGUACAGCCCAGCACGAUCCCAGUACGGCCCAGUGCUGUGGGCUGCACCAUCCCCAUGCGGCUCAAUAAAGUCCAGUGGCACCAGUGAGAGCCCGGCGUG